AACUUCUCUAUGUGUAAUUUAACUUAUAAGCUGUCAGCAUUUGGUAUGAGACUGCUAACGUACUAAUUAGUACAUUCAGGGUGUGUUUGGUAUGCUGGACUGGCCAGAAUUGGACGGGAUUAUAUUCCUUUCUGAUGUUUGGUUUUGCAAUUUGAGAUCGGCACAAUUAAUCCUAAACAGUAUUUUAAUCCCAAUUGAUUGGGAAUCAUCUGACCCGUCUCCCCCCUGGGUCACUUUUGUAUGAAACUCAAACGAAGCCCUACUCUCUCUCGCAAGUGUUCUCUUGCCGAAGCAGAUCGUUGGAACAUGGUGGAAAAUCGAAGGAGCUCUCUGGAUAAGGUGAACGAUCAUCUCCCUCACCGGACGUCUGCAUCUCUCCGAGAAACAAACUCGGCCAGAAAAAUAUAUUGGAGAAGGGUGGAUGUGAAACGUAAAUAAAACUCAUUUGUGAUUGGAGACAACAGGGUGCUUGUGCCAUGACUUAAUUGAAAACUAAGGAUGGUUCUUCUUCAUGAUUCAGAAUUGGCAUUGUGGCAGUGGUGGUAUGUUUGUAUUCAAAGGCAAGCAACUGCUGUAUGCAUGGAAAGAUGAAGGUACAGGUGAUCAUGCCCCACUAAGUGAUAUUUUUAAUAUUUGCUGCAAAGUUCCAGUCUCUUAAAUCUCACAACUACAAUCAAUAUUUAAGAUGUUGAGGUUGCUGCUUAAUUGGUUUGGCUCGUCCAUGUAAAAUGCUAUAUCUCAGCUUUUAUGAAGAGCUAUUCAGAAACUAUUAGUCUGCUUGUUAUGCCAAGUUCUGCAGCAUCACCAAUCUUUACACAUCUUGUAUAAUGAAAUGGGCGUUAAUUGAUUUGCUUAUUGUAAUCUUGUAGAUUGCCUAGCAUUUUAAUAAAACCACUUGUAACCAAUAUAAUGUAUAGGUUGUAUGUUAUGGUUAUCUUAUUUAUUUAUUUU